GUGAAUCAUCGAAUUUUUGAACGCAAAUUGCACUCUCCGGUUUUCCGGGAGAGUAUGCCUGUUUGAGGGUCAGCCUAAAAAAAAUCGACAUUGUUGCUGUUAUUUAAUGGUGACUUUCGUCGGAGAUUGGGUUAUCUUAAACCUUUUUUUUUUUUUUAGGUUUAAUCGACUUAAAAUUUUUUUUCACGUUUUUUUGAUCUUUUCUAAGUUUUUUAUUUUUUAUAUGUUUUAGUUUUAUUUUUUUUUUUUUUGAUGUUUCUGUUGCUUUUUAUCUCGU
rnacentral:misc_RNA from 1 species